rnacentral:rRNA from 1 species
GCGAACGGGUGAGUAACACGUGGGCAAUCUGCCCUGCACUCUGGGACAAGCCCUGGAAACGGGGUCUAAUACCGGAUACUGAUCCUCGCAGGCAUCUGCGAGGUUCGAAAGCUCCGGCGGUGCAGGAUGAGCCCGCGGCCUAUCAGCUAGUUGGUGAGGUAACGGCUCACCAAGGCGACGACGGGUAGCCGGCCUGAGAGGGCGACCGGCCACACUGGGACUGAGACACGGCCCAGACUCCUACGGGAGGCAGCAGUGGGGAAUAUUGCACAAUGGGCGAAAGCCUGAUGCAGCGACGCCGCGUGAGGGAUGACGGCCUUCGGGUUGUAAACCUCUUUCAGCAGGGAAGAAGCGAAAGUGACGGUACCUGCAGAAGAAGCGCCGGCUAACUACGUGCCAGCAGCCGCGGUAAUACGUAGGGCGCAAGCGUUGUCCGGAAUUAUUGGGCGUAAAGAGCUCGUAGGCGGCUUGUCACGUCGGUUGUGAAAGCCCGGGGCUUAACCCCGGGUCUGCAGUCGAUACGGGCAGGCUAGAGUUCGGUAGGGGAGAUCGGAAUUCCUGGUGUAGCGGUGAAAUGCGCAGAUAUCAGGAGGAACACCGGUGGCGAAGGCGGAUCUCUGGGCCGAUACUGACGCUGAGGAGCGAAAGCGUGGGGAGCGAACAGGAUUAGAUACCCUGGUAGUCCACGCCGUAAACGGUGGGCACUAGGUGUGGGCAACAUUCCACGUUGUCCGUGCCGCAGCUAACGCA